rnacentral:rRNA from 1 species
GACGAACGCUGGCGGCGUGCUUAACACAUGCAAGUCGAACGGAAAGGCCCUGCUUUUGUGGGGUGCUCGAGUGGCGAACGGGUGAGUAACACGUGAGUAACCUGCCCUUGACUUUGGGAUAACUUCAGGAAACUGGGGCUAAUACCGGAUAGGAGCUCCUGCUGCAUGGUGGGGGUUGGAAAGUUUCGGCGGUUGGGGAUGGACUCGCGGCUUAUCAGCUUGUUGGUGGGGUAGGGGCUUACCAAGGCUUUGACGGGUAGCCGGCCUGAGAGGGUGACCGGCCACAUUGGGACUGAGAUACGGCCCAGACUCCUACGGGAGGCAGCAGUGGGGAAUAUUGCACAAUGGGCGGAAGCCUGAUGCAGCAGCGCCGCGUGCGGGAUGACGGCCUUCGGGUUGUAAACCGCUUUCGCCUGUGACGAAGCGUGAGUGACGGUAAUGGGUAAAGAAGCACCGGCUAACUACGUG